GCGUGUCUGAGUGAGGAAGAAGCGGUGUUGUCCAAACAGCAAUCACGAAGCAUGGCUUGCGAGCAAUUUCAGCAGCAUGCUAUUAAGCAGACGGGCCUCGAUAUGUGAGAUGUCCUAAGGAUUUGUAACUUGUGGGACGGAGAGGUCCCCGUCUUGAAGAUCAACAUCACUGACAGCAGGGUGACUAUUCUGUGGAUGAUCGUCAAAUCCUCAGUGACACUGCUAAGAAGGACAGUCAUGGGUAUCCAGCUCCCCCCCGACAUCUGCUAUGGUUCCAUGGCUUUCUUCAUGUCAAUACUCCAUAAUAUCUUCCUCCUCUACCAUGUUGACAUGUUCGUUUCCGUCUACAAGAUCGACAAAUACUCCUUUUGGGUCGGCGAGGCAAUUUUCCUGGUGUGGAACUCUCUCAAUGACCCCCUAUUUGGCUGGCUCAGUGAUCGCCAGUAUUUGAAUACUUCAGCGAAAACAUCAUCACAGUAUGAAAUAGUCAUGAGAAGAUUCAAUGCUAUACAAAUCAACGGUCCACUUUUUGCGAUAUCGUUUAUUGCGUUUUGGAUCCCAUGGGCUUACCCCUGGCUACAGUUUGUGGUGUGCUUGUGUCUGUAUGAUGGCUUCCUGACCAUGCUGGACCUGCAUCAUUCCGCCCUUUUAGCCGAUUUAUCCGUUUCGGCAGAUGUCCGGACUAGUUUAAACUCAAGGUGCUCAAUUUUUUCUGCCAUGGGAUCAGCAUCUGUGUUUUUGUCCUACGCUUUUUGGAAUAAGGAUAAUUUGUCAUCUUUUCGGACUUUCUGUUUUAUACUCGCUUGUGUCUCAUUUGUGGGAUUUUUGUUAAGCUCAAGUCUACUUAAAAACUAUUACAUAAAAAAGCACAAGGAGGAAGAUGAAGAGGUCACAUCAAAGGAAACCAAAGAUCUUGACCUUCCUGGAGGUGCACCCACCAAGUCCUUUAUAUCACAGCUACUCUCACAGAAAAACUUUUUAUGGUUCGCUGCAAUGAAUUUGAUACAGGUUUUUCACUGUCACUUCAACAGCAACUUCUUCCCCCUGUUCCUGGAGAACCUGCUGGGAGAUGCCAUCAGCCCUAGCACCGGCUCCUUUCUUAUAGGUAUCUCAUUUGUAGCGCCACACAUCAACAACCUCUACUUCCUUCAGCUGUGUCGGAGGUUUGGUGUGUACUCGGUCAUCAACUUCCUGUUUGUCGUGAAGCUGACACUGAGUAUCAUCAUGUUGGUGGUGGGGCCGUCACAGAUAUGGCUGUUGUGCAUCUAUAUUGCAAGUAACCGGGUGUUCACCGAGGGCACCUGUCGGCUGCUGAACCUGGUGAUUAGUGACCUGGUAGAUGAGGACUAUGUCAUCCACAGUCGACGCCAGCCGGUUGCAGCGCUCAUGUUCGGUACAGCUGCACUGGUGUCCAAGCCAGGACAGACGUUGGCCCCUCUUAUAGGAACGUGGAUACUCAGUUUGCAGACAGGUGGGAAACAUCCUGAGGAAUAACACUGGAAGGAACUACAUGUAUCCAUAAAAUUCAAUACGGUUUCUAUCCAAGUAAUAAAUAGGUCAUGACAUAUUCCAGUCAGGCAAUGAGGCAGGUUCCAUCAAGCUGAGUUACCACGACAUGGACACGGGAACCCGGGCCCUUCAUCGCCAGGGCUGCUUCCAGCUCCUUGUCUACGUCCCCAUCAU
rnacentral:misc_RNA from 1 species